AUACGGAGGGUGCGAGCGUUAUCCGGAUUUAUUAGGUUUAAAGGGUGUGUAGGCGGGAGCCUAAGUCAGUGGUGAAAUCUCACAGCUUAACUGUGAAACUGCCAUUGAAACUGGGUUUCUUGAGUAUAGUUGAGGUAGGCGGAAUGUGUAAUGUAGCGGUGAAAUGCAUAGAUAUUACACAGAACACCGAUUGCGAAGGCAGCUUACUAAGCUAUUACUGACGCUGCUGCACGAAAGCGUGGGUAGCGAACAGGAUUAGAAACCCCGGUAGUCC
rnacentral:rRNA from 1 species